rnacentral:lncRNA from 1 species
CCAGUGAGUAACGUGACAUUCUUACUGGGCUAGUGUAGCUCACUCUUUCAUUAACCAUUUUAGAUAAAAAAGACCAAGAUUUAGAUCCUGAUCCAUAAGAGGGUUGCGAAUAGGAUGUCCAAUUGUUUACUUUUUUAUUUAUUUCUUUGAUUUUUUAUUUGUUCUUUUAAAAGGGUCAUUCCCGUAACCCUAUUGGGUAUUCUGGAUUAUUGAAUAAGGAAUAUAA